rnacentral:rRNA from 1 species
GACGAACGCUGGCGGCGUGCUUAACACAUGCAAGUCGAGCGGUAAGGCCCUUCGGGUACGACGAGCGGCGAACGGGUGAGUAACACGUGGGUGACCUGCCUCUAGCUCUGGGAUAAGCCUGGGAAACCGGGUCUAAUACCGGAUAUGACUCCAUGACGCAUGUUGUGGGGUGGAAAGCCUUGUGCGGCUGAGGAUGGGCCCGCGGCCUAUCAGCUUGUUGGUGGGGGGAUGGCC